AUCCUAGAACAUCCCUCGCUUUCUUCACGCGUCCUUAUUGACUCUACAAUCCCAAAAAAAUGCACAGCCCUGGGGCUGGCUGCCCUUGGCUGCCCUUGCACUGCUGAUGCUGCCCUGGACCGAGGACCAGCAGCGAGGAAGGGCUGCGAGAAGCCAGGAACGGAUGAGGAGAGGUCCCAGACACCCAGAAACCGAAACAAAUUCCCAGCAAGAAAUCCAGGGGGGCCGUUGGGACGGGAGGGGGGAAGCUGGGAUGGGAAGAGCAGGAAGCGUGCCUCAGGGCCGAGCUGUCUCGGGCUGCAGGAGCCGGGGCAGCGGCUGAGGCUGGAAGCAUUUCAGAAGGUUUGUGUUUGGCGGAGCCGGCGGCUGGAACAGAGCUUGCUGGCAAAGCCCCCGGGCUGGCUGGGGAGAGCAACAUCUCCGGCGCUCCUCCACGAGCUCCGUGGCCAGAGCGGUGAGCCCCCUGCUUCCCUCGGCACCAGGCGCAGCCCCUGCCCUGUUUUCCAAGGGAAAAAAAUAAAUCCCUGGAAAGCCUUUCCUCCCGCACAGGCACACACAGACCCCUCUGUCUGCGGCAGGCAGCAGCUGCCUUCGGGGGACGAGCCCCUGCACACACGCAGCUCCGCCUGGCGUGCUUUAUCGCCGUGUCAGCUGGAGGUUACGCGCUGCUGCAGGCACCGCCGAGCCCGCCGAAGGCCAAAAGGGCUUCGGGUCCGUCUCCCCCUCCCCUUUCCAACCGCGCUGCUGCUUAUUCUUCGCUCCCUUCCCUGGCUGCUGCUGUCGGUGUGGCCGAGCGCGGUGCUUCUCAGCGGUGGCGGGCCUUGGCCCUCCGCCAAGGUCCAUCCCUGGAGGGGGGGAUGUGGGGAGAGCUUUGAAAAAUUCAAUCUCUCUGGAGCUGCUGGGGCUGCCAACGCCACCACGCUGCCUGACCUCGGGGUAAACUCGGCGGAAGAGGAGCAGAAGCGGCGGCUGGCACGGUGCUGGCCUGGGAUAACUCCUGGGGAAGAGGCGGCGCGGAGCGGGAAGGCGAUGGGGGGCUGCUGCCCUGCGGGGGGGCUUCGAGGCCUCCUGGGAGCAGCACACAAUGCUCUUGCCGGGGUUUUAAACGGGAAUCUAAGCAGCAAGGAAAUGGCAUUGCACAGGGUAGGGCUGGAGCACUGCUCCUGGUGCUGUCCCCCACGUACCCGGUAA
rnacentral:lncRNA from 1 species